rnacentral:rRNA from 1 species
UACGGGGGGGGGCAAGCGUUGUUCGGAAUUACUGGGCGUAAAGGGCUCGUAGGCGGCCAACUAAGUCAGACGUGAAAUCCCUCGGCUUAACCGGGGAACGGCAUCUGAUACUGGCUGGCUGGAGUUCGGGAGAGGGAUGCGGAAUUCCAGGUGUAGCGGUGAAAUGCGUAGAUAUCGAGAGGAACACCUGCGGCGAAGGCGGGUUGCUGGGCCGACACUGACGCUGAUGCGCGAAAGCCAGGGGAGCGAACGGG